rnacentral:rRNA from 1 species
GAUGAACGCUGGCGGCGUGCCUAAUACAUGCAAGUCGAGCGAAUGGAUUAAGAGCUUGCUCUUAUGAAGUUAGCGGCGGACGGGUGAGUAACACGUGGGUAACCUGCCCAUAAGACUGGGAUAACUCCGGGAAACCGGGGCUAAUACCGGAUAACAUUUUGAACCGCAUGGUUCGAAAUUGAAAGGCGGCUUCGGCUGUCACUUAUGGAUGGACCCGCGUCGCAUUAGCUAGUUGGUGAGGUAACGGCUCACCAAGGCAACGAUGCGUAGCCGACCUGGGAGGGUAAUCGGCCACACUGGGACUGGAACACGGCCCAGACUCCUACGGGAGGCAGCAGUAGGGAAUCUUCCGCAAUGGACGAAAGUCUGACGGAGCAACGCCGCGUGAGUGAUGAAGGCUUUCGGGUCGUAAAACUCUGUUGUUAGGGAAGAACAAGUGCUAGUUGAAUAAGCUGACACCUUGACGGUACCUAACCAGAAAGCCACGGCUAACUACGUGCCAGCCGCCGCGGUAA